CUGUCACUCCUACGGGAGGCAGCAGUGGGGAAUAUUGCACAAUGGGCGCAAGCCUGAUGCAGCCAUGCCGCGUGUGUGAAGAAGGCCUUCGGGUUGUAAAGCACUUUCAGUCGUGAGGAAGGUGGUAGUGUUAAUAGCACUAUCAUUUGACGUUAGCGACAGAAGAAGCACCGGCUAACUCCGUGCCAGCAGCCGCGGUAAUACGGAGGGUGCGAGCGUUAAUCGGAAUUACUGGGCGUAAAGCGCAUGCAGGUGGUUUGUUAAGUCAGAUGUGAAAGCCCGGGGCUCAACCUCGGAAUAGCAUUUGAAACUGGCAGACUAGAGUACUGUAGAGGGGGUAGAAUUUCAGGUGUAGCGGUGAAAUGCGUAGAGAUCUGAAGGAAUACCGGUGGCGAAGGCGGCCCCCUGGACAGAUACUGACACUCAGAUGCGAAAGCGUGGGGAGCAAACAGGAUUAGAUACCCUGGUAG
rnacentral:rRNA from 1 species